GCGUCGGUAGUGCAACGGUUCAGCACGCUUCCCUGGAUAGGGUGAAAUCUGGGUUCAAUCCCAGCUGGAGCA